rnacentral:rRNA from 1 species
GACGAACGCUGGCGGCGUGCCUAAUACAUGCAAGUAGAACGCUGAAGAGAGGAGCUUGCUCUUCUUGGAAGAGUUGCGAACGGGUGAGUAACGCGUAGGUAACCUGCCUUGUAGCGGGGGAUAACUAUUGGAAACGAUAGCUAAUACCGCAUAACAAUGGGCGACCCAUGUCAUUCAUUUGAAAGGGGCAACUGCUCCACUACAAGAUGGACCUGCGUUGUAUUAGCUAGUUGGUGGGGUAACGGCUCACCAAGGCGACGAUACAUAGCCGACCUGAGAGGGUGAUCGGCCACACUGGGACUGAGACACGGCCCAGACUCCUACGGGAGGCAGCAGUAGGGAAUCUUCGGCAAUGGACGGAAGUCUGACCGAGCAACGCCGCGUGAGUGAAGAAGGUUUUCGGAUCGUAAAGCUCUGUUGUAAGAGAAGAACGAGUGUGAGAGUGGAAAGUUCACACUGUGACGGUAUCUUACCAGAAAGGGACGGCUAACUACGUGCCAGCAGCCGCGGUAAUACGUAGGUCCCGAGCGUUGUCCGGAUUUAUUGGGCGUAAAGCGAGCGCAGGCGGUUAGAUAAGUCUGAAGUUAAAGGCUGUGGCUUAACCAUAGUACGCUUUGGAAACUGUUUAACUUGAGUGCAAGAGGGGAGAGUGGAAUUCCAUGUGUAGCGGUGAAAUGCGUAGAUAUAUGGAGGAACACCGGUGGCGAAAGCGGCUCUCUGGCUUGUAACUGACGCUGAGGCUCGAAAGCGUGGGGAGCAAACAGG